UACGUAGGGGCAAGCGUUUGUCCGGAAUCAUUGGGCGUAAAGCGCGUGUAGGCGGUUUCGUAAGUCUGCUGUGAAAGUCGGAGGCUCAACCUUCGAAAGCCGGUGGAUACUGUGAGACUUGAGUACGGAAGAGGAGAGUGGAAUUCCUGGUGUAGCGGUGAAAUGCGCAGAUAUCAGGAGGAACACCACGGCGAAAGGCAGCUCUCUGG
rnacentral:rRNA from 1 species